rnacentral:rRNA from 1 species
UACGGAGGGUGCAAACGUUGCUCGGAAUCAUUGGGCGUAAAGCGCACGUAGGCGGUCCGGCAAGUCGGGUGUGAAAGCCCUCGGCUUAACCGAGGAAGUGCAUUCGAAACUACCGGACUUGAAUACUGGAGAGGGUCGCGGAAUUCCCGGUGUAGAGGUGAAAUUCGUAGAUAUCUGGAGGAACACCGGUGGCGAAGGCGGCAUCCUGGACCGGUAUUGACGCUGAGGCGCGAAAGCCAGGGGAGCAAACGGG